rnacentral:rRNA from 1 species
UCGAGAAUUUUUCACAAUGGGCGAAAGCCUGAUGGAGCGACGCCGCGUGGGGGAUGAAUGGCUUCGGCCCGUAAACCCCUGUCAUUCGCGAGCAAACGUUAUUAUUUAAAAGAUGAUAGCCUGAUAGUAGCGAAAGAGGAAGGGACGGCUAACUCUGUGCCAGCAGCCGCGGUAAUACAGAGGUCCCAAGCGUUGUUCGGAUUUACUGGGCGUAAAGGGUGCGUAGGUGGUGGGGUAAGUCGGAUGUGAAAUCUCCGAGCUCAACUCGGAAAGUGCAUUGGAAACUACCCUGCUCGAGGGUUGGAGGGGGGACUGGAAUACUUGGUGUAGCAGUGAAAUGCGUAGAUAUCAAGUGGAACACCAGUGGCGAAGGCGAGUCCCUGGACAACUCCUGACACUGAGGCACGAGAGCGUGGGGAGCAAACAG